rnacentral:rRNA from 1 species
AUUAAAGUUGCUGCAGUUAAAACGCACGUAGUUUGAGUCAUUUAGCGGGUGGCAGAGGGGGGGUGUUAAACCACUCUCCAUUCUACAUUUGCUAAUACAAGACUAUUGUGUAGUGAUUAAGUUUGCUACGCAUUGAUAACCUUGGAAAAAGAUUGGCGCUCAAGACAGUACAUUUAGUACACUGAGAUUUCAGCAUGGGAUUAUGAAAAACGAAGACGGGUAACACUGUCUUAAUGGUUAAUGAGGAUGAACGGGGAAGUUAAUAUUCCACAGCCAGAGGUGAAAUUCUAUGACUUGUGGACGAUUAACAUCGGCGAAGGCAUUCUUCAAGGGCAUACCUGUCGAUCAAGAACGAAAGUAGGGGGAUCGAAGACGAUCAGAUACCGUCGUAGUCUCUACCUUAAACUAUGUCGACUAAGAAUUGUGUAAUGUUUUAGGAGUAGAAAUCCGUGGAAACACGAGUCUAUUCCAAUGACUUGCCCAGAGCUUUAUGAGAAAUCAAGAGUUUUUAGAUUCCGGGGGGAGUAUAGUCGCAAGGCCGAAACUUAAAGGAAUUGACGGAAGGGCACCACCAGGCGUGGAACCUGCGGCUUAAUUUGACCCAACACGGGGAAACUCACCAGGUCCAGACAGCGUUAGGAUUGACAGAUUGAAGCUCUUUCAUGAUUCGUUGGGUGGUGGUGCAUGGCCGUUCUUAGUUGGUGGUGUGAGUUGUCUGGUUGAUUCCGUUAACGAACGAGACGAUCGUUGAAUACUAGAGGAGACUAGGUGUUGGUCAAAGUGCAGCGGUUUUUGUUGAGAUACGAGCAAUCGCCUUGAUAAAUCAACUGCUGCAUUUCAAUCCUAGUCUUAGUGCUCUCCUAUUCAAGACAAAUAAAGAAAAUUUAUUGGAAGUCGAUCGCAAAAACAGGUCUGUGAUGCCCUUCGAUGUUCUGGGCUGCACGCGCGUUACAAUGACAAAGUCAACAAGUUUCCGCUUCUCAGAAAUGAGUGGCAAAUCUCUAAACUUUGUCGUACUAUGGAUUGUUGAUUGCAACUAUUCGACAUGAAACAGGAAUGCCUAGUAAGGGCACAUCAUCAAUGUGCCCUGAUUACGUCCCUGCCCUUUGUACACACCGCCCGUCGCUCCUACCGAUUGAAACCAACGGUGAGAAUUGAGGAGAGGGAUUUAAAUGCAUGGGUUUCGAUUCAUGCAUACUUUUCUCGAUACAUUUCAAAUCUCUGGUUUUAGAGGAAGGAGAAGUCGUAACAAGGUU